GGAGAAGAAGCGAUUUCGACAAAAAGCGAGGCCAGAGAUACGCUAGUGUCCUCUCCUGCUUCCAUGCCGGUGGUGACAUACUGACAUCUCAUACUUCCAUGCCGGUGGUGACAUCUCCUAUUUCCAUGCCGUUGACGACAUCAACCACCGGCAGAGAUACGCUAGUGUCCUCUCCUGCUUCCAUGCCGGUGGCGACAUCUCAUACUUCCAUACCGGUGGUGACAUCUCCUAUUUCCACGCCGGUGGCGACAUCAACCACCGGCGGUGACAAGUCCAUCUGUAACCUGUUGUACCUAGAAACCAUGGGAAAACCUUUCAUCUCUGCAGGCGACGUCGCCCAGCGCAAGGGAAAACGCCGCCACGACGACGCGGCUCGCACGGCUAUGCCGGACGACAAGGGCGAAGAGAAAAAGGCUAAGAUCGAUAAGGCGGUCCGCGGCUCGAGCCUCUGGACGCGCCGCCGUGCUAACACCGCAACGACGUCAGACCUCGUGAUUCGUGUGCCUGAGCGCGAGUCUCGCUUCUGCAUGCUUCAAGACUGUUGUGCCUCCUCCUGCUGCGGCAGUAUUCAUGGCAGUAAGUGGCGGCUUCAGAAGAGAAGCAAGAUUGAGGCUAAAUAAUCCAAGUCUGAACUUGCGGGUAAUUAGAUCAAGUAAUAAAAAAACACAAAGUAAUACUAGCGUCAUAUUCUUUGCUUUGGAUGUGAGCCAUGUUGAUUUGAUGCCUGGAGUUCUGAUCAAGGUUUUUGUUUUUUUGGUUGUUUGGUUUGGAUCUUUGUUAUAAUCUUAAAUAAAUGACUAUCGUGUUGAU
rnacentral:misc_RNA from 1 species